AAUUUCUGUUUCUAAUUACAUAUUCUCAUUAGAUGAGAGGUAAUUUGGUCAUUUUGUUCAAAAAAUAGUAUUUUUAAAAAUGACCAACAAAAAAAUA
rnacentral:sRNA from 1 species